CUGAGUGAUGGGUGUAAUGCUGUGCCGGCGGAUGUUAACGUUAUCAGGCCUUUUCUGGACGAGCACGCAGGCUGCUCGGUAAGAUCCCAUCCUCGGCCCCCGCCUGCUCGGUAAGAUCCUGUCCUCGGCCCCCGCCUGCUCGGGGCCGCCCUCGGCUCUCCGCCUGUUGAUCG